UACGUAGGUGGCGAGCGUUGUCCGGAUUUAUUGGGCGUAAAGCGCCCGCAGGCGGCUUGAUAAGUUUCAGGUGAAAUCUCCCGGCUCAACUGGGAGAGGUCCUGGAAAACUGUCAGGCUUGAGGCAGGGAGAGGGAUGUGGAAUUCCCGGUGUAGUAGUGAAAUGCGUAGAUAUCGGGAGGAACACCUGUGGCGAAAGCGGCUCACUGGACCACAACUGACGCUGAGGCGCGAAAGCUAGGGGAGCAAACAGG
rnacentral:rRNA from 1 species